CUUCAUCUUGCCUCUCACCGAAUACCAUCAUUUGCCUGUGUCUCUUGAAGGAGGUAACCAGAGACACUGUAGGAAAUCUAGAAAACAAUCUGGGUCUGGAAGCUGUGACAGGACACACUGGUGCCAUGACUGGUGACUAAUCCCUUUUGCAGUCAACAUGAUUCUCAAGACACACACUGCGGGUCUGAUCUAUUGACUGCUCCCCCAGCAAUUGCAUAUCAUCUCAUCCUUUCUGCUCUGCAACAUGAAAGGGGACAAGACAAAUUAAAGUCUGUCUGUGAUACUCAAUAUCCAGGCACACAGAUGAUUAUUUGUAAAGUGGCGUAAAAGACUCAACAAAAACAGGCUUCAGACUCACUAAAACAGAAAAACCAAGAGAUUGUUUAACCACGAAAAAUCCCUCAAG
rnacentral:lncRNA from 1 species